rnacentral:lncRNA from 1 species
UGCCUGUAAGCAAUGGAUUCAUCAAAAUCCUUUCUUCUGAAUAAAAGAAGAGCCCCUUAAUGGUGCCCAUUCAGUGUCAUUAAUGUGGAGGAGUUGUUUUAUAUACCACUUGAGUCUCCUGUUUCAGCCUCAUCACUCUUGCCUGUCACUCUAGUCUUCAAGCUGCUCCUGGAACUUAUCGGUCAUGCCAUGAACAGCAAUUUUAGGGUUUUGAGAGAGCUUCUUGCUGACCUUUUUGUUCACUUGG